rnacentral:rRNA from 1 species
GGGAAAAUUUAUUGCUAUUAGAUGAGCCUAUAUUAGAUUAGCUAGUUGGUGGAGUAAUAGCCUACCAAGGCAAUGAUCUAUAGCUGAUCUGAGAGGAUGAUCAGCCACACUGGAACUGAGAUACGGUCCAGACUCCUACGGGAGGCAGCAGUGGGGAAUAUUGGACAAUGGGCGAAAGCCUGAUCCAGCCAUGCCGCAUGAGUGAAGAAGGCCUUUGGGUUGUAAAGCUCUUUUAGUGAGGAAGAUAAUGACGGUACUCACAGAAGAAGUCCUGGCUAACUCCGUGCCAGCAGCCGCGGUAAUACGGAGAGGGCUAGCGUUAUUCGGAAUUAUUGGGCGUAAAGGGCGCGUAGGCUGAUUAAUAAGUUAAAAGUGAAAUCCCGAGGCUUAACCUUGGAAUUGCUUUUAAAACUAUUAAUCUAGAGAUUGAAAGAGGAUAGAGGAAUUCCUGAUGUAGAGGUAAAAUUCGUAAAUAUUAGGAGGAACACCAGUGGCGAAGGCGUCUAUCUGGUUCAAAUCUGACGCUGAAGCGCGAAGGCGUGGGGAGCAAACAGGAUUAGAUACCCUGGUAGUCCACGCUGUAAACGAUGAAUGUUAAAUAUGGGAAGUUUACUUUC